GCAGGCCUGCUGUAGAUCAAUGUUCUUGCACACACUUCUAGCAUUAGUGGUAAUUCCCAACAAGGUCAGCAGGGGCCUAUAUUAAAUAAAUGAACUUCAUCCCGCCCUUUAUUUUUUCUUUUGUGUUUACUCUUUUUUACCUGCCGCCACCACUGCUGCUCCUCCUGCUCCUUCCCUUCCACUCCUUGCCCCUGAUGUUUGGUAGUGGGUUCAUGCAGCGGAGUGCGUGUAGUGUGUGUUCUGUGAUUCCGUUCCAUAGAACCUCUUAUUGCUAUGUGGCCAGCUGUAAUGACCUGCCUUGUCUGACUGCCCAGCAGCUGCAAAAAGCACUCUUUUCAGAGGGGUGAGGAGAGCCGGAAAGGAAAGACAGAUUUAAUCUUGGAUUCAGGACCAUGAAAGAUAAAACAAUGUAAGAAUUUGUCAUUUGGCAUCUCAAGGGAGAGAGAGGUAUGAAGGCUGAUGGCUGUGUUGCCUGGAUUUGGGUAAAACACUGGCAAGCAUAUGUCCUAGGAAAGGUGGAAUUCGGAGACAACCUUAGGAAGAAAGUUGAUGUCUGGGUGCAGUACCACUCUAGCCCUAUGAAAAAACAGAUGCUGACGAAGAUCUUUGAUGGGACUUUGACUGUGCAGUCUCCACCACCACCACAUUAGCUGGGUAAGGGUAGAGGUCCAUGCAAAAUAUACUGAUGCACACAUCUCAGAGACAGGAACAGGAAGAAGAAUAACAGAAAGCCCAAACAACAACAGAGCAAAGGAAGGAUACAAGAAGGAAAUGCCUUUCCCUUCAUUAAAGCUCCUUGUUACAGUGCCCCCUCUGGCUUUGUAGUAGAUUACAUGCAAACUAUACAAUAUAUUCUAAGCAGCAGCUGUUACAUAUUGAUAAAUAAAUAAAUAAAUAAAUAAUAAAAAUAUUUCAAGUUUAUUAUUAAAAAUAAAUAAAUAAUAAAGGAAUCAAGAUUCAGCAACCAGGGGGCCAGAAAUUAAGGCAUGU